UGGGAGGGAAAAAUUAACACUGGGU
rnacentral:piRNA from 1 species